rnacentral:tRNA from 1 species
GGAGAGGUCGCCUAGUCUGGCCUAUGAGCGCGCGCCUGGAGAGCGCGUAGGGAGCGUAAGCCCUCGUGGGUUCGAAUCCCACCCUCUCCGCCA